rnacentral:rRNA from 1 species
GAUGAACGCUGGCGGCGUGCCUAAUACAUGCAAGUCGAGCGAAGCGGGGACGGGUGAGUAACACGUGGAUAACCUCCUAUAAGACUGGGAUAACUUCGGGAAACCGGAGCUAAACCGGAUGCUUAUAGAUGGAUCCGCGCUGCAUUAGCUAGUUGGUAAGGUAACGGCUUACCAAGGCAACGAUGCAUAGUCGACCUGAGAGGGUGUGCGGCCACACUGGAACUGAGACACGGUCCAGACGCCUACGGGGGGCAGCAGUAGGGAUUCUUCCGCAAUGGGUGAAAGCCUGACGGAGCAACGCCGCGUGAUUGAUGAAGUUCUUCGGAUCGUAAAACUCUUUUAUUAGGGAAGCGUUACCUAUUCAGAAUGCCACGGCUAACUACGUGCCGGCAGCCGCGGUUAUC